rnacentral:lncRNA from 1 species
AUUUCUAAUUUUAAGUAUUCUUUUUUUUACAGACAAAUAAAAAGAAGUGUCAAGAAUUGCCUUUGGGACUCUGAAGGCUGAAGAAUACCUGAUAAAUUGCAAGUUUGUGCCCCACAGCUGCACAGACUGCCUGAAGUUACAUUUAGAGACUGAAAUCACUGCACCUUAAAAACAAAAGAUUGGGCUGCACUGUAUUCCUAUAACGUCAAAGGAAGGGCCAAGAAGGUCAAAAGGAAACAUGGACAAAGAGGGGAUAAAGAAGAGGAACUGGAGGUAAAUUUCAUCUACACUUUGGAAUUCUGUUCAAGGUUGGUUCUGGUAUUUGGGAUGGAAGGAUUGCUUUGGAUAUUAAGAGAGAAAUAUGG